rnacentral:tRNA from 1 species
GGGGAUGUGGCUCAGUGGUAGAACGGCUCACCUCACACGUGCGAAACCCUGGGUUCAAACCUCAGCACCACA